rnacentral:misc_RNA from 1 species
GAUGAAGAACGUAGCGAAAUGCGAAAAGUAAUGUGAAUUGUAGAAUUCAGUGAAUCAUCGAAUCUUUGAACGCACAUUGCGCCCGCUGGUACUCCGGCGGGCACGCCUGUCCGAGCGUCAUUUCAACCCUCAAGCCCUCCUUCGGGAUGGGCCUGGUGUUGGGGCUCGGCCGCCAUCUCCGGCGGCCGUCCCCUAAAUACAGUGGCGGUCACGUCGCGACUCCUUUGCGUAGUAGAAACACCUCGCUCCGGAUAGCAACGCGGUCCACGCCGUAAAACCACCAAUUUUCAAUGGUUGACCUCGGAUCAGGUGGGAAUACCCGCUGAACUUAAGCAUAUCAAUAAGCGGAGGA